rnacentral:rRNA from 1 species
UAAUACGUAGGGCGCAAGCGUUGUCCGGAAUUAUUGGGCGUAAAGAGCUUGUAGGUGGCUUGUCGCGUCUGCCGUGAAAACCCGAGGCUCAACCUCGGGCGUGCGGUGGGUACGGGCAGGCUAGAGUGUGGUAGGGGAGACUGGAACUCCUGGUGUAGCGGUGAAAUGCGCAGAUAUCAGGAAGAACACCGAUGGCGAAGGCAGGUCUCUGGGCCAUUACUGACACUGAGAAGCGAAAGCAUGGGGAGCGAACAGGAUUAGAUACCCUGGUAGUCCAUGCCGUAAACGUUGGGCACUAGAUGUGGGGAACAUUCCACGUUUUCCGCGUCGUAGCUAACGCAUUAAGUGCCCCGCCUGGGGAGUACGGCCGCAAGGCUAAA